UACAGAGGUCUCAAGCGUUGUUCGGAUUCAUUGGGCGUAAAGGGCGCGUAGGCGGCGGGGUAAGUCGGGUGUGAAAUCUCAGGGCUCAACCCUGAAACUGCACUCGAUACUGCUCUGCUUGAGGACUGGAGAGGAGACUGGAAUUCACGGUGUAGCAGUGAAAUGCGUAGAUAUCGUGAGGAAGACCAGUGGCGAAGGCGGGUCUCUGGACAGUAACUGACGCUGAGGCACGAAGGCCAGGGGAGCAAACGGG
rnacentral:rRNA from 1 species